rnacentral:rRNA from 1 species
GGUUUAAUUCGAAGCAAACGCGAAGAACCUUACCAGGUCUUGACAUCUUCUGACAAUUCCAGAGAUGGAACGUUCCCUUCGGGGACAGAAUGACAGGUGGUGCAGGUUGUCGUCAGCUCGUGUCGUGAGAUGUUGGGUUAAGUCCCGCAACGAGCGCAACCCUUAUUGUCAGUUGCCAUCAUUAAGUUGGGCACUCUGGCGAGACUGCGGUGACAAACCGGA